UACGAAGGGGGCUAGCGUUGUUCGGAAUUACUGGGCGUAAAGCGCGUGUAGGCGGGUCUUUAAGUCAGGGGUGAAAUGCCAAGGCUCAACCUUGGAACUGCCUUUGAUACUGGAGGCCUUGAGUCCGGGAGAGGUGAGUGGAAUUGCGAGUGUAGAGGUGAAAUUCGUAGAUAUUCGCAAGAACACCAGUGGCGAAGGCGGCUCACUGGCCCGGAACUGACGCUGAGAUGCGAAAGCGUGGGGAGCAAACAGG
rnacentral:rRNA from 1 species